GGGGGUCGCGGAACCCGGCGCAGGAAGCCCCCGGCAGGGUUUUUGAAGAGUCGGCACGAAGCGGAGCGGAGGGAGAGUCCGUCUACACUGGUGGGGCGCCGGGCGGCUCCGUCGGCCCGCCGUCUGCCUUGGACUCGGGUCGUGACCCCAGAGCCCAGAGGCUCUUCCGCCUGCUCCCGGAAGUCCCGCCUCCGCGCGCCCGGAAGUCACGCCUCCGCCCAGGCGCGCCGACGCAAGGCGCGGGCGUGACGGCAUUCAAGGGCGACGCCGGGGAGGGGGUGUGGCGGCUGCGGUGCGGGCGGCUGGCUGGGGCCCCCGUCCGGCUCUGUGCUCUGCCGCAGGGCGAGGCGGCGGGAGGGUCCGGGGCGCGCGGAGGCAGCGAGGGGCAGCGGGGUCGGCGGAGCGGGUGGCGGGGGGCUCCUGGGGGUCGCGGAACCCGGCGCAGGAAGCCCCCGGCAGGGUUUUUAAAGAGUCGGCACGAAGCGGAGCGGAGGGAGAGUCCGUCUACACUGGUGGGGCGCCGGGCGGCUCCGUCGGCCCGCCGUCUGCCUUGGACUCGGGUCGUGACCCCAGGGCCCUGGGCUGGAGCCCCGCGUCGGGCCCCGCUCGGCGGGGAGACUCUGCUUCCCCCUCCGCCUGCCCCUUCCCGGCUGGUGCCCUCGCUCGCUCGAGAGCUCGCUCGAGUGAGUGAAAUCUUUGAAAAGAGCGAGUCUGCGUUGGUUACGUGGUGAAAUGACAGCUGCUGAAGUUAUGUUUCGGUGUUUCGGUGUUUGCUUCUUUUAACUCGACGUAGCCAACGAAGAUGUGGGGUGACGUGCGUGACUGGCGCUGGAUUUCUCUUGGUCGCGGACCCGGACCGAGAAGCCAGGUCCUGGCCUUUCCCGACUGCAGGACAGUCCGCGGACGCACCUCCGCCAGUUCUCUCGUGAGACAAGAAUUGGGCUGCAUGUGUAGCUUGUGAGAUCCUGCUCAGUGGGGCCUAGGUCUUCUGCCUCUGCAAGUGUGUGUUGGAUGAAUGACAACCAUGGGAACUCUCCAGGGACCCCCUUUUGUCACCAUAGAAACUCCAGGAAUCUUCUCUUUGGUGUGAUCUUAAUGGAUCCUUGGUGAUCCCCAGCUGACAUACCCUCACUAGAUCCUCAGGGCUCCUUUGUUCAUAGCCUGAUGAGCUCUUCCGGGAUCCUGUCCUUACAUGACCUCAGGGAAUCUCCGGAGAUCUUCCAAUAAGGUUUCAGUGGAUCCGCAGGGACUCCCUCCUGACACAGCCUCAGGCAGUCUCCCGGGAUUCUCUCCUAGUGGAGCUCAGGAAGGCCCCAGGGACCUCUUCCCAAUAUACAGCCCCGAGGCCUCAGAAAUCCUCUCAUAGACUGGCUCCUAACAGCCUCCGGGGUCCCCUGUGGACAUCACUGGGGACCUCAGGGGUUCUGUGCAGCUCUUCUGGCUCAUUGCAAGAAUCAGCGAGGUGACGGAGCAAGAUGGCGGAGGAGUAGGAGACCUGGAUUUCGUCUCCUCUCAGGAAUUCAGCUGGAUAGGGAUCAAACUGUUCUGAACACCUACAAACUCAACAGGAGACCGAAGAAAAGAAGAGCAACAACUCUGAACAGAAAAGUGACCACUUUCUAGAAGACAUCCCUUCCUGGAGCCUGGGUCCCCACUCCACAGCCACAAGGGGCCAAGAAGACUCAGUCUCUAGAAGCUUCUGGGCUAGAUGCUGACCGGGGUUGCCUUACACAGUCUGGUGUUUCUGCUGGCCUUGCCGUUCCUCAAGUUCCGGAGUUGACCUCCCAGUCGUCGCUGGAGACCUCAGGCAUCAUCUCAGCCUCUGUCAGCACCUCCCUCUCCUCAGCCUCCAUCACAUCUGUGGGAGCCUCGGACUCACACGAGCACCGUGUCUCGGGGUCUGCAACCACGGCUCCUCCCUGCCGCUCUCCAUGCAGCAGGUGGGCGCCGCUGCCUCAACCCCAUCAGCCUGGACAUGAAGAUCGGCACCAUGUCCAAGAGCAUCCUGCUGAACUGGGCACGUGGGGCGUCCCUUUGGUCUCCUGACUCAGACGUCUCUGAGUACUGAUCUCACUGGAACAGCUAGCUACUCUGACAAGAAGCCACCUCUGGACCUUCCAGGCAGCAUGCCCAGGCCUGGAAGGACUCAGACGACCACCACGGCCCCCACUCUACAGAGGAGGAAACUGCGGCAGCCUCCUCACCUCCGGCUGGUGCUUGCUUGGUGAUCCAUGCUUGGGUGGGGACAAUAACAUGCCCACCAAGCUCCUUCUAAAUCUACGAAGCUGUGGCUCUUUCCCCAGGUCUCCACGUCCAGUCAGUCCAGCGGCCCUCCCUGGCGGGACUGGGGCUGGCCUCCGGCCUAAGAGGACGUGAGGGUCACUGAGCAGGCAGUGGAGAUCGGGACAAGGAGGACCAAGGCAACAGCCAGCCCCUCGGGGUUGCUCAGGCCUGCUGGCAGGUGGGGUCCCGCGCAAGCGCCGUCUGCUGGGCCGUGUGUGCCUGCGCAGGAUCCACCUGCCUCCGACCCACCGUUGGUGGGAGGGCCCCGCCCACCCAGAGUGCACCUGCGCCACGUCCACCCAAAAGGAGGGAGCCGACCGGCCACGCUGAGCCACGCUAAUGAAGUUCCUCAGGGGGAGUGUGGGGACGACGGCGCUCCAGGACCGGGCUCGGGGAGUGCCUGGAGGGUCUCCUGCCCCGACGCCAUCCGGGACACUGACGACCCGGGGUGCCACGAUGGCUGUGCCCCUUACGUGGCCAUGAUCUCAACCCAAGGGGUCUGGGCUGCUCCCGUCACAGACACACACACACAGACACACACGCCAAACACACACACACACACCCAGUCCUUCAAACACACACACACACACCUGAUCCUUCACACACAGACACAAACACCCGGUCCAGCCCCAUCCUUGGCCAGGUACAAAAUCACCCUUCACAUACGUGGAAGAUGAUCCGAAACAAUUUGGAUAUUCUGUUGCACUUCAGGACACAGACAGGAAUAGUUUUGCAGUUUCUGUGUUGUGAAUUGUCCCUCCUUUAUCCACAGAUCAGCACCACCGUGAACCUGAGUGGGCCCUGCCGCUGGGGGCGAACCAGAGGCUGUGGGCGGUCCGUGCUGACAGCAUGAGGAAGCUGGUGGAGCCGGGCCAGGCCCUCUCCUGUGACCCCUCUCCCAGAGCACCUCCCCGAGGAACGCCUCCCCAGCCCUUCCCACACCUGCUGCUCACCAAGCCUCCGGGCCUCCAUUUGGAAGAGGGUCCAGAUUCAGUGCUCUGGUCCGGGUGACAAGGCCUUAGGAAGGAACGGAGCCCCAGGACAGAAGAGGGAAACACGGACAAGAGAGGCUUCUGAGGUUUCUCACAUCACCCCUGGAGUCCACAGAUCCUGCUCCUGUGAGAGACACAGAGACAAAGACAGAAACAGAGAAGGAGACAGAGAAUGAACACACGACAGAGGGAACCAGAAGAAGUCACAGACUUUCCUCCAUCAGCUUGGAAAUGACAUCCCAGCCUUUGGCCCCAUUCUCUUCCUGAGAGUGCGGUCACACAGGCCAUCCACCCCGGAGGGGAGGUGAUUCCAUAGGGAUCUGUGACCAGGAUUCGGGGAUGCUGGGAGCGACUGUGGGGACUGCUCAGCACAUGGGCACAGAUGAGUCCCUGGGACCUGAGCCUAACCCUAAUAGAAGCCCCUGGAAGUCUGUGCUGUGAGAGGACAAGAAGGCCACGGAUGACCUCCCGAGGCGGCUGGCGGACAUGCCCUCCUCCCUGAUGGCGGGGUUGACCCAACAGGCAUCCCCAAAAACAAGUGCUGGGGAUUGCCGAGCAAGACCUCCAACACCACCCAGACCACUGUCCCAGGUGGUUGGUCACCGGACAGUGGUCUAGGAGUCGGAGCCCACGGAGACCGAGCCCGAGGCUGCUCCACCACCUGAGGAGCUAGAGCCCAUUCCAACUCCAUCGGUAGCUCUGGACGGAGGGGUGUUGGCUGCGACUUCAGCAGGAGACCAGGAGCAGGCAGGUGACCCAGCACCCACCCACGGACAGCCUGACGCAGACCAGGAAGAACUGGCAGCUGCCCCUGACCCAGCUCCUGCCGUGGAUCCUGCCCCUGACCCAGCUCCUGCCCUGGAUCCUGCACCUGCCACUGCUCCAACCCAGCUCCUGCCCCUCCUCCUACCCCUUCCCCUGCCCCUGCCAGAGCCACUGCCCCUUCCCCUGCCCCUGCCCCUGCCUGAGCUCCUGUUCCUGCUCCUGCUUCUGCGCCUUCCCCUGCCCCUGCCUGAGCUCCUGUUCCUGAUCCUUCUCCUGCUCCUGUCCCUGCCCCUGCCAGACUCGCUGCCCCUUCCCCUGCCCCUUCCUGGGCUCCUGUUCUUGUCCCUGACCCUGCUCCUGCUCAUAACCCUACCCCUGCCAGACCUGCUGCCCCUUCCCCUGCCCCUGCCUGAGCUCCUGUUCCUGCUCCUUUUCCUGCUCCUGUGUCUGCCCCUGCCCCUGCCAGACCUGCUGCCCCUGCCCCUGCGCCUGCCGGAGCUCCUGUUCCUGCUCCUUACCCAGGUCCUGCCCUAGAUCCUGCACCUGCCACGACUGCUGAUCCUAUCCCUCCCCUUGCCCC